GCGAAGGCUCGCACCGGCCGUGGCAUCCAAUCCCUGUCCUGCCAGCUAUAGCCGGGCGGGGAGGAGGGAGCGGUUCCGGGUUCAGAAAGAGAAAAUCUCCAUCUAAGGCGAAGGGGUAGAAGGGAGGUCGAGGGAAGGCAAUAAAGUCACUUGUUUAAUCUCCUCUAUGCUGUAAAAUCCCCGAAGGCAGAAAUCACAUAGUCCUAAGUGUAUGGCACACAGAAGACGCUCAAUAAAUGGCUGAUUGGCAACUGGCCAUCGGACCCUGCUCGGAUGCAGCGCCAGUCCCGCCGCCCUACGCAGCAGUCCCCUCACCCCUCUCCCCCGGCGUCCUCCCUGCUGUGACAAGGCAAAUGAGACAAUGGGUUCGGCCAACCAACGCUUCCAAGCCUGCGGCCCGCGGCCGGGAAGUGUCCUCAAUCCGCUCGUCUAACACUGCAGUGGGUGCGGCCAAAGACCCCAGUCCACUCUCCGCGCCCCUGCCAAUGGGCGGGAAGCGGGGCCUCAGCCUCACUGCGCUGGCUCUGCCAGUGGCAGACGGAAUCAUCAGCCAACCGCACCCGGGCAGGACGCAUGCGCACCCAGAAGAUGUAGCCCUAGAUGGGGAAAAACCGAGCCGAGAGAGCCAAUUUUGGCUGGGUCUUGCCAGGUCUUGCCAGGUCUUCCCGGAGAGGGUGCGCAUGCGUAAAUCGAACACCUCCUCUAAAUCUAACGCCCUGCUCAGUUCUAGAGGGGACAGCGCCCUCUGUCCUCCUGGCCGUUUUCCUGAACUCCUAACCUCAGUCAAUACUGCCUCGGGACCUGGCGCUGCCUGGGAGAUCCAGAAGAAAGGAAGCAUCUUGGCCCCUGCCUUGGGGGCGACACGACCGUCCCCAAACACAGCGAGUCACUGGCCUGGGUCUUUGUGCAGAGGCCCCUCUAGGAGCGGGGAACCAACGAUGGCACGAACAUUGAUUUGAGGAGGAUGCUUCGCAGUUUACGAAAAAAUGAGUGCUAGAGGCGUUCAGAAACGGGAAAGAUCACUUUGUGCUCCUGUGAUCUGAAGGCUGCGUGAAGAAGAUGAGGCUUGGAAAAUAGGUGAUUCUCACAAGAAGGCUUCAAUAAUCUCCAUGUUAGAGAUGAAGAGACUCAAGUAACUGAAAGUUACUUAAGGCCAAUGGGGACCCUGUGCAGCUAUAUAUCCAGUGUCCCAAGCACUGUGUCUGGCAUGUUAGUAAACAUGUUUCAUAGGACUUACCACAUUACAGGACAGACCACAGUGCAUGUCUGUCUGCUCCAACAGAAGUGGCUUUCUUGAGGGAAGGAAUUCUGCCUUGUUCAACUUUAUAUUCCCCCACAGUGCCUUGCAGAAAGUAGGAGCCCAGAAAAUGUGUACUGAAUUGCUCAGAAUUGUGUGGUGAGGUAGAAAGUAUUGCUUAAUCUCUCCGAGACCUCAAUUUCCUUAUUUGUAAAUUAAACUGCUGAUUAAUUUCUAAAGUUCUUUUGAGUUACAGAAUUCUGUUACCCAACAAGGUUUCAGAGAUUGAGAAGAUUGAAUUAUUUGAUUUCUAAAUUCUUUUUCAACUUCAAUAUUAAAUGAUUUUAUAAUACCGAGUUGCAAGUGAUCUACAUGGAAAUGAUAGCUGAACAAGUUAUCAGAGGAAAAACAUGUGGGAAAAGAUUGAGAACAGAAGUAACAUCUAGCUAUCCAAUACGAGAGAGAGAAGCCACUGAAAGUAACAUGGAAGAGUCAGUCUGAAAAGCAGGGGAGAUAAUAAUAGAAGGAGUGACAGAAUCAGAUGCCUAGAGGACUAUCAUGCAAAUGAGUGAAGUGGUCCAGUGGUAAGCGUUAGGGAGUUGUGGAGACUGGAGAGGCCAUGGCCCAUCUAAAGUCAGCUGUGUCAUGUUACCAAUGUGAGUGUUGCCACAUCUUCCAGGUUUUUGUUUGUUUGUUAUUGUUGUUUUUGUUUUUU